GGGGAUAUAGCUCAGUGGUAGAGUGUUGACCUAGCAUGAAGCAUGUGAAAAACCCUAGAUUCAAUCCCUAACACCCCCC
rnacentral:tRNA from 1 species